rnacentral:rRNA from 1 species
AUUGAACGCUGGCGGCAGGCCUAACACAUGCAAGUCGAACGAGUGGCGGACGGGUGAGUAAUGUCUGGGCACCUGCCCGACGGAGCGGGAUAACUACUGGAAACGGUAGCUAAUACCGCAUACCAUCGGAUGUGCCCAGAUGGGUUUAGCUAGUGGGUGGGGUAACGGCUGAUCAAGGCGACGAUCCCUAGCUGGUCUGAGAGGCUGACCAGCCACACUGGAACUGAGACACGGUCCAGACUCCUACGGGAGGCAGCAGUAGGGAAUAUUGGACAAUGGGCGAAAGCCUGAUGGAGCCAUGCCGCGUGUAUGAAGAAGGUCUUCGGGUUGUAAAGUACUUUCGUUGAGGAAGCGUUACUCGAAGAAGAAGCAACGGCUAACUCCGUGCCAGCAGCCGCGGUAAUAC